GACGUCUUACUCUUCUGCCAUCUUGAUCCUCCUAAUUCUGCAAUCUCAACUGACCGUACAAUGUAAUGACUACAUCCACUGCUAUUGUCUGACUCUUUCCCCCAAAAUUCAUGUGUUGAAAUUCUAAUGCUCAGUGUGAUGGCAUUAGGACCUGGGGCCUUUGGGAAGUGAUUAGGUCAUGAGGAUAAGCUCUCAUGAAUGGAUUAGCACCCUUAAAAAGACACUAAAAAGAGAUUCCUUGUCCCUUCCACCACAUGGGGAGACUACUACUAGAAGUCUGCAAACUGGAAGAGGGUCCUCAUCAGAUCAUGCUGGUACCCUAAUCUUAUAUUUCUAGUUUCAAGAACUGCCAAAAAUUUUAGAAGUUUAUAAGCCACCUAGUCUAUGGUAUUUUGUUACAACAGCCAAGGCAUCUACCAUGAUCAAACCUGAGACUUUAGAACCAAUAUGACAAUAAGUAAACCAUAAAAUUUCAGUGCUAGAAAACUUUAACUUUAAUAAUAUAGAAUAUAACCUGAAAGCACUAUUAUUUUAUAUGUAUCUUUAUGUGACCAAUUGGACAUUAGAAGCCACCUAGGAAGAGGGGUGAUGAUGUCAAUUCUGCCAAGUCAGAGGGUGAUUAAGGUUAGCGUUACAUGGGUAUUUCUCCAAAUAACAUGUCGUUAAAAAUUAAGAAUAAUGAUAAAUAAUAAUAUUGAAGGCAAAGGUUUCUGGUUAGACUCAGUAUAAAAUUUGAAGAUGUAGGUUUCAUAAACAGUGAUGUAGAUGAGGGGCCAUCAGUUCAUUUAUCUAUAAUGGUGACAUUAAUAUGGACUGAAAUAAUCCUUCAAAGAAUAAUAGUAAGUUCAGAAAUUUUCCCCCAGAGUUUCUGGGGGGUAGGGCCAGAAAACUUUUCCUUUCUUCCCCUCUAGGUUCUCUGGCUGGUCUAAUUAAAUUUUCAUAAAACAGAUUAGCAGGAGAAAAACAAAUUGCAUAUGAGAGUCACUGGCAGUCAGGACAUUGAGUGAAGAAGAAGCAGGGAGCAGUAUGGGACUUCAAGGGCAGAAGACAAUUCACAGGAAAGUGAGAAAAGCAAAUGUUUGUGGGAGUUCCCAUUGUGGUUCAGUGGGUUAAGAACCCUACUAGUAUCCAUGAGGAUGCUGGCUUAGUCACUGGCCUCACUCAGUGGGUUAAGGAUCCAGUGUUUCUGCAAGCUGUGGUGGAGGUCACAGAUUCGGCUUGGAUCUAGCAUUGCUAUGGCUGUGGCUGUGCUGUUGACCAGCAGCUACAGCUCUGACUCAACCCCCAGCCUAGAACUCCCCAUAUGCUGCAGGUGUGGCCCUAAAAGGAAAAAAAAAAAAAAAAAAAAAAAAGCAAAUGUUUGGUAGAUAAAUGUAUUCCAUGCCAUUCAAGUAAGACUCUGAUACAUUAAGUACCUGUGGUAAUGGCUCUAAAUACAUAGCUAUCCUCUGAAUAAGUAGAAUGCAGUGAGACAACUACCUUAGACCCAACACAUGGUGCUUAAUCCUCUUGAAAUUCCUUUAACAGCCUUACCACUGUCCAUCAGAAGUAGGGCUUCCUGGUAGUCUCCCUAUCUAAAUUCUUUUAGCCAGUUAAGAGGGAGGUUAAAAAGCUCUUCCUAAUUCUGCUGGGCCCCAGCUGUCUUCAAUCUCAAAAUAAUCCACAUGACGAAGUGACACAUUCUGGUGUGGUGUAUUUUGUUCCUGCUCUGAAGUGUCCAAGAUUGUUAUCAAGAUGUGGAUAUAGAUAAUUCUGAAGAUACAAAGUUGGUAGUCUAGAAAGAAGUCUAGAUAUUAGGAUCAGUGGUAUAAGAGAACAGAGUAGCAAAUAGAAUCUAAGUUAUAUCAUUGGUGAACUAGCUAGCC
rnacentral:lncRNA from 1 species